AGCUCCAAUAGCGUAUAUUAAAGUUGUUGUGGUUAAAUAGCUCGUAGUUGGAUCUCCACAGUCUGAAGUUGGUGUGCUUGCUAGCACUACUGCCUUAUAGACUGUAGUGUUGCCAGAGGUGUUAGGGUGCUCUUAAUCGAGUGUCCUAUCGCACUGGCAGGUUUACUUUGAAAAAAUUAGAGUGCUCAAAGCAGGCUUUAUGCUUGAAUAUUCGUGCAUGGAAUAAUAGAAUAGGAGGUCAUUUCUAUUUUGUUGGUUUUUAAGUUUUGACUUAAUGAUUAAUAGGGACAAACGGGGGCAUUUGUAUUCAGACGACAGAGGUGAAAUUCUUGGACCGUCUGAAGACAAACUACUGCGAAAGCAUUUGCCAAGAGUGUUUUCAUUAAUCAAGAACGAAAGU
rnacentral:rRNA from 1 species